GACGAACGCUGGCGGCGUGCUUAACACAUGCCAGUCGAACGGAAAGGCCAGUGCUUGCACUGGUACUCGAGUGGCGAACGGGUGAGUAACACGUGGGUGAUCUGCCUUGCACUCUGGGAUAAGCUUGGGAAACUGGGUCUAAUACCGGAUACGAACUGCCUUUAGUGUGGUGGUUGGAAAGUUUUUUCGGUGCAAGAUGAGCUCGCGGCCUAUCAGCUUGUUGGUGGGGUAAUGGCCUACCAAGGCGUCGACGGGUAGCCGGCCUGAGAGGGUGUACGGCCACAUUGGGACUGAGAUACGGCCCAGACUCCUACGGGAGGCAGCAGUGGGGAAUAUUGCACAAUGGGCGGAAGCCUGAUGCAGCGACGCCGCGUGGGGGAUGACGGCCUUCGGGUUGUAAACUCCUUUCGACAGGGACGAAGCGUAAGUGACGGUACCUGUAUAAGAAGCACCGGCUAACUACGUG
rnacentral:rRNA from 1 species